rnacentral:rRNA from 1 species
UAAACUUCAAAUCAGGUGGGACUACCCGCUGAACUUAAGCAUAUCAAUAAGCGGAGGAAAAGAAAAUAACUAUGAUUCCCUUAGUAACGGCGAGUGAACAGGGAAAAGCCCAAAUUUGUAAUCUGGCAUCUUUUCACAGGUGUCCG